rnacentral:lncRNA from 1 species
UAAGGACAUAAUUUUUUUAUUGUGAAUUGCUUUAUGUAUGAAGAUGUUCAUUACAGACAUUUAUAAUAGUAAUAACUUUGUGCAGAUGAUGUUUUAAGUUCUUUUCUUCAAUUAAUGCAGUUAAUCCUCACAAAAACCCAACGAAGUGGAGAUAGUUGCUGUUAAUAUCUUCAUUUUACAGAUGAGAAAACUGGAACACUGACAGAUCAAGUAUCUUUCUCAAGAUUGCAUAGCCAAUGAGCAGAGGAGCAAGGAUUUGAACCAGGCUGUUGGCUCCACAGCCUACGCUUGAACCUGCUCUAGGCUGUCGGAAGCAACCUAAAUAGCUAACAACUGGAGAUUUGCUAAGGUGUUGCGGGCCUCUGCUCUCGUAAUACUUCAGCUACAGAACCCACGUGUGAACGCUCCUAGCGCUCUGGAGAAGAUCAAAUGCAUGUGGAAGCUCUUUGAAAACCAUAAAGCCCUCUAAAUGAAAAGGCAUGUGAGGAUACAGUGAGAAGGUGGCCGUCUGCAAGCCUCACCAAGAACUGAAUCUGCCGGCACCUUGAUCUCGGAGUUCCUAGCCUCCAGAACCACCCCAACUUCGUCUCCUUUACACUUUAAGAAUACAGUAUUAGAGGCCAACCCGGUGGCGCAGUGGUUAAGUUCACACAUAACGCUUCUCGGAGGCCUGGGGUUCCCCUGUGCGGACAUGGCACCGCUUGGCAAAAGCCAUGCUGUGAUCUUUGAAGAGGAAAGUGGACUGGUUUCUAAAACUGUUCAAUUGUUUGAAGGUAAUCAUAGCCUCCAUUGCUCUUCUGAUUUUCAUCUAUAGAUACGGGAAAGUGUUUGUAUCAGCUACUUCUUUCUUUAAGUACUUGUGCUUACUUUUCUCUUGAAAUAAAAAUUAAAAAUUGGAAAUUAUUAGCUGUUUUACAUGAAAUAAAUCUGAUAUGUGUAUUAUCAACAAAGACUUAUGUCUCAAACAGGAAAGAACAUUUCAUGAAACCAAAUUUGAAGUUCAAGCAGAGCUUUCAUGUUGAAGUAUUUGUAGUUCCCUUUUUCUUGGCCCUACUGGUCUUUUUUUUUCUUUUUCUGCUUUAUCUCCCCAAAACCCC